rnacentral:rRNA from 1 species
AUUGAACGCUGGCGGCAGGCCUAACACAUGCAAGUCGAACGAGUGGCGGACGGGUGAGUUAUGUCUGGGCAACUGACUGAUGGAGGGGGAUAAGUAAUGGAAACGGUUGCUAAUUCCGCCUACCCUCAGCUCGGCCCAGUUGGGAUUAGAUAGUUGGUGGGGUAACGGCUCACCAAGGCGACGAUCCCUAGCUGGUCUGAGAGGAUGAUCAGCCACACUGGAACUGAGACACGGUCCAAACUCCUACGGGAGGCAGCAGUGGGGAAUAUUGGACAAUGGGCGCAAGCCUGAUGCAGCCAUGCCGCGUGUAUGAAGAAGGUUUUCGGAUUGUAAAGUACUUUAAGCUGGGAGGCGUUACCAGCAGAAUAAGCACCGGCUAACUCCGUGCCAGCAGCCGCGGUAAUAC